AUAUUGUUUCUUAUUUUGUGUCUUGUAUUGCUAUAAUCCUAUGUAUGUAUAUGGUUCCUAUUGUAACUUGUCCCUCCAACUGCACCAUGCCUUUAAUAUGUUUCCUUUGACUUAACUAAUUAUUGGUUGUCUGUUGUAUGUAUGGAUGUGUGGACUGGGAAUGCUACAAAUGAAUUGCCCCCUUGGGGAUAAAUAAACUCAACUUUUCAUGU